GGCGGUGCAUGUUGACGAGUGAUGUCAGCGAGAGCUCAGAGCAGCAUUAGCUCAGCUGUGUUUGUUAGCUUAGCAGUGGCCAUUUGCUGGCAUAUCUUCUUGACAACAAACGGGGUAUUGUUUGGAUUGAAAACUUGUCACUUCAAUCAUUGAUUUGUUGUUCCCUCUUAGUAGUAGUAGUAAGGAGUAUGUGUACUUCCUGUACGUGUUGUUUGCUGUGGGAUGUUUAAGUUCAUUUUAGUGUGGUGCUGCUUGUUGCUGGCUUUUGUAAAACCUUACUUCCUGUUUGGAACAUGUGCUUCUGACGCUGUCUUGCUGACAUACAGCUGCAUCAAAAGUGGCGUGCUGGGUUACAUCAAACAAUAAUAAUAACAAUAAUAGAUUUUAUUUGUAAAAGCACUUUACAUUGAGCAAACAACCUCAAAGUGCAUUUAAAAAACAAAACCGCUAGAACCACAAAUAGCUGCCCCCAACAAGUAAAAUAAAUAGUAAAAAAAAUCAAAACUACAACAGCCUAAUAGCUAGAACUAGCACACAUAUAUCUAAAAAACAUGUUUUUUUUUUUUAAAAAGAGGGUUUUUUAAGCCUUUUUUAAAAGCAUCCACAGUCUGUGGUGCCCUCAGGUGGUCAGGGAGAGUGUUCCACAGACUGGGAGCGGCGGAGCAGAAAGCGCGGUCUCCCAUAGCUCGGAGCUUUGUCCUCGGAGGUUAGCCUGUCCGGAGCGCAGGUGUGGCGUGGGUAACAGCGUCGUGACUUACAUAAAAGUAAUGAGAGUACUCGUUACUAGCAGAAGUAUUAUCAUCCAACUUUGUGUUUCUUAGCACACGAGAUUGGCAAUAAAAGUUGAAAAGAGCGCCGUGCUUUGAGCGACUUCUUCAUUGCCCCGCCUCCACGCCACCGACCGACCCCCCCUCGCCCCUCCCCAUGACACGCCUCCCCCAUUUUGUUGCAAAACCCCCGACGAGGGAGGACAAUGUGGGGUUUGAUUUGAGUAAAAAGGUAAGUUAUGUGAAGGUCAGAUGGACAGGAUGGACGUCACUUUGAGUUGAGGUCACUCGCUGGCUCAGCGCUCUAUUAGCUGAAAGUGGGGGUGUGUCCCGCAUCCCGUCUAAGCAGCAGGUUUGAGGGAGACUAGUACGAUCAAUAAGCUGCUGUCUAAAUGUUAACUCAAGUGUUGGCUCAGUAUUCAUGUUUCAUCUUCUGGGGACAUUUUGUGGAUUUGUAAAGUUCCAUCAUUUAAUCCUGACUUUCACGUGCGAAAGAUGCUUAGGAACUUUGAUGCACCACAAUAACAUCAGACUGGUGUUGUCCCCAUACCAAUAUUUUAGUACCGGUACCAAAAUGUAUUUCCAUACUUUUCCAUACUUUUCUAAAUAAAGGGGACCACAAAAAAAUGUCAUUAUUGUCUUUAUUGUAACAAAAAGUCUUAGUGUACAUGAAACAUAUGUUUAUUAUUGUCAUUUAGUCCUUAAAUAAAAUAGUGAACAUACUAGACAACUUGUCUUUUAGUAGUUAUAAGAAUUCUCCAUGUUUAUCUACGUUUUCAGAUACUUUAUUUUGAAGCGUUUCUUGACAGUGCCACUUCCGCUUCCUUCCUGUAGGUGUCAUUUCCGCUUCCCUUUUGACGUGUGUUAAUGUGUGCUAACUUGUUUCUCUGCUACGUUUAAUCGGUGCUCUAGUCUUUGACGAUAUAUUAAAUGAAGCUGACCUAAAGAAAUUCAAGUUGGAAAUGACCCCAACCUGGUCAAUAUCGGAGAAUACCACUCGCAGAGUUUAAUUCUCAACACCUCACAAUGGCUGCAAAUCUUCUUUUAUUGAGAUGCUAAAUCAAGAUGACGCGUGCAGACUGGACGCCGUUACAUCGCCGACCUGCAAAGACGACCCGGGGUUUCCCAUGCAUGGCCACCCGCCACCAUUACAUCGCCACAAAUACAUCCGCCGCUUCCUGGCACUCAAAGUCCUUUGACGCUGCGACCUCCUGAUGACCACUUGCUCAAGUGCCUUGCUCAAGGAUGCUUCGACAUGGCCACAAGGGAUUAUUUUGGAUCGAACCUGGAACCUUCAGGUUGGUAGACAACCACUCUACCACCCAUCCCCU